rnacentral:tRNA from 1 species
GGGGCUGUAGCUCAGCUGGGAGAGCGCGUCGUUCGCAAUGACGAGGUCAGGGGUUCGAUCCCCCUCAGCUCCACCG